AGUGAACGCUGGCGGUAGGCCUAACACAUGCAAGUCGAACGGCAGCACAGUAAGAGCUUGCUCUUACGGGUGGCGAGUGGCGGACGGGUGAGGAAUACAUCGGAAUCUACUUUUUCGUGGGGGAUAACGUAGGGAAACUUACGCUAAUACCGCAUACGACCUACGGGUGAAAGCAGGGGAUCUUCGGACCUUGCGCGAUUGAAUGAGCCGAUGUCGGAUUAGCUAGUUGGCGGGGUAAAGGCCCACCAAGGCGACGAUGCGUAGCUGGUCUGAGAGGAUGAUCAGCCACAAUGGAACUGAGACACGGUCCAGACUCCUACGGGAGGCAGCAGUGGGGAAUAUUGGACAAUGGGCGCAAGCCUGAUCCAGCCAUACCGCGUGGGUGAAGAAGGCCUUCGGGUUGUAAAGCCCUUUUGUUGGGAAAGAAAAGCAGCAGGUUAAUACCCCGCUGUUCUGACGGUACCCAAAGAAUAAGCACCGGCUAACUUCGUG
rnacentral:rRNA from 1 species